rnacentral:rRNA from 1 species
GACGUAGGGCGCGAGCGUUGUCCGGAUUUAUUGGGCGUAAAGAGCUCGUAGGCGGCUUGUCGCGUCGUCCGUGAAAACCUGCAGCUCGACUGCAGGCUUGCGGGCGAUACGGGCAGGCUAGAGUUCGGUAGGGGAGACUGGAAUUCCUGGUGUAGCGGUGAAAUGCGUAGAUAUCUGGAGGAACACCGGUGGCGAAGGCGGCAUCCUGGACCAUUACUGACACUGAAAAGCGAAAGCCAGGGGAGCAAACGGG